AAAAACCCCCAAACCCCCAAAAAAAAUCCAUUAGCCACACUGAUGUAGAAUGAAGGCUUCUCCUUGAAAGGCUUGAAUCCGUGCCUAUGUUCCUUUUCCUGAAUUCCAUCAUUUUUUCCCUUUGAUUUACUGUUAGUGCUGCAUUCUGUUUCUUCGAAUGAUUCAUUUGCAGAGCAAUUCUUUGCAAGUGGAGGCCCGCACAAGUUAUGAUUUCCGAUGAAUGCAUAUGCACUAAAAUUAUGGGGUGAGGGAACUUUCCCUGACAAAUUGUUGUGUGACAAAUUCAAUUCUUCAAGAUGAGUUAGAGCAUAAAUGCCGGGAGGAAUGGUGCCAGAAAGCUGGUUGCUUGAUAAAUCUAGAUAAUUUAAGGAUUUCAUGGCUCCAAUAUCACAAGGAAUAGCUCCUGUCAGAUAAUUGUUGGAAAGAUUCAG
rnacentral:misc_RNA from 1 species